AUCAACGCUGGCGGCGUGCCUAACACAUGCAAGUCGAACGCGAAAGUCCCGCAAGGGAUCGGUAGAGUGGCAAAACGGGUGAGUAACACGUGGGUGACCUGCCUUCGAGUGGGGGAUAACGUCCCGAAAGGGACGCUAAUACCGCAUAACAUGCUGCCUUUUAAGAGGUGGACAUCAAAGCUGGGGAUCGCAAGACCUGGCGCUGGAAGAGGGGCCCGCGUCCGAUUAGCUAGUUGGNGGGGUAAUGGCUCACCAAGGCAACGAUCGGUAGCCGGCCUGAGAGGGCGGACGGCC
rnacentral:rRNA from 1 species